GAUAAACGCUAGCGGCAGGCUUAACACAUGCAAGUCGAGGGGCAGCAUAGAUUGUAGCAAUACAAUUGGUGGCGACCGGCGCACGGGUGCGUAACGCGUAUGCAACCUACCCGUCACAGGGGGAUAAUCCGGAGAAAUCUGGUCUAAUACCCCAUAACAUAUGGAUCGGCAUCGGUUCAUGUUGAAAUUUUCGGAGGUGACGGAUGGGCAUGCGUAGCAUUAGCUUGUUGGUGAGGCAACGGCUCACCAAGGCGACGAUGCUUAGGGGGACUAAGAGGUUUUCCCCCCACACUGGAACUGAGACACGGACCAGACUCCUACGGGAGGCAGCAGUGAGGAAUAUUAGUCAAUGGGCGCAAGCCUGAACCAGCCAUGCCGCGUGCAGGAUGACGGCUCUAUGAGUUGUAAACUGCUUUUUUACGAGGGUAAAGUGGGUUACGUGUAACCUUUUGAAAGUAUCGUACGAAUAAGGAUCGGCUAACUCCGUGCCAGCCGCCGCCGUAA
rnacentral:rRNA from 1 species